rnacentral:rRNA from 1 species
CCUACGGGAGGCUGCAGUAGGGAAUAUUGCUCAAUGGGGGAAACCCUGAAGCAGCAACGCCGCGUGGAGGAUGAAUGUUUUCGGAUUGUAAACUCCUUUUGUUAUGGAAGAUAAUGACUGUAUCUAACGAAUAAGCACCGUCUAACUCCGUGCCAGCAGCCGCGGUAAUACGGAGGGUGCCAGCGUUACUCGGAUUCACUGGGCGUAAAGAGCGCGUAGGCGGGUUGACAAGUCAGAUGUGAAAUUCUAUGGCUUAACCAUAGAACUGCAUUUGAAACUGGUAUUCUAGAGUAUGGGAGAGGUAGGUGGAAUUCGUGGUGUAGCGGUAAAAUGCGUAGAGAUCAAGAGGAAUACCGAUUGCGAAGGCGACCUGCUAGAACGUAACUGACGCUGAUGCGCGAAAGCGUGGGGAGCAAACAGGAUUAGAUACCCGAGUAGUC